GGGCGGAUGGCGAAAUUGGUAGACGCGCAUGCCUUAGGAGCAUGUGGGGUAACCCAUGGAGGUUCGAGCCCUCCUCCGCCCACCA
rnacentral:tRNA from 1 species